UUACGUUCCGAUUUAGAUUUUUAAACUGGAAUCUAUUAGUUUAAUUUCAAUUACUCCACUCAAGUCGUCCAAUAUCCGCCUCUAAAUUUGAUAGAUAUUCCACCGGCCCCACCCACUCCACUUCCGCCAAUGGAAUCACCGCCGCCUCAAGCUCCCAUCCCUCGCCGGCGGAGACGAGCAUGACGACCGCAGAUGGUUCCCGCUGGGAAAGUACUAACUGGACAAGAAAGUCGCCGGUGCCGUCGUCAUCGCAGCCCCGCUAGUCCUCCCUCCUCUGUUUAUCCUGUCCGCGGUAGCCGUCGCACUCUCGCUUUUCCCUCCGCCCUCUACCUCGCCAGCUUCGCUCGCGCCGAGAAGGUCAUGAGCUCCCUCCUUGGCCUCCUUCAGGAAGGCAGCGGCAACUGCGGCGGCGUGGAGAUUCCGGUGGACGAACGCCGUAGAAGAAGAGCGUCGUCCUCCUCCCCAGGAAGUGAGCCUGGAAAGCAGAGAUAUCCAAGUCGAAGAGACGACGAAAGAGAGAGAUGAGACGAACAAGAAAGAAUCCCGCGCAAGGAGAGAAACGAGAGCAAGCACAAGAAACAUAGGAGUAAAUAGUACUUUUGCCCCUAAAACUAAGUCGCAGAACUGCAUCUUAGAGGAUAACUUCGAGGGCCUCACUCAGAAGAGUUACUCACGGAUGAUUCGCAGUUAGACCUUGAAUCUCUUCCAGCGGCUGGGAACUGUGUAAAAUUUCACAUGAAAAACAAGUACUAAUUACACAUACACAUCCAACACCAGUAGUUCAUCCUUGCGAAUUAUUGACGGUCGUAACCAGCUUAAACCACUGGCUAUCCACGCCCAGCUUUAGCCCCUGGUUGCACGAAUUGGCGACGAGGGUGCCAUCGGCGUCCGCGUCCAAGCACACCUUCCUGCCGUCCGCCAGCUCCGUCGUCAGAUGCGUCGUCGUCCCCCCCUCCGACUCCGACUCCGACGCGAACGCCCACCGCGACUCGCAGAUGAUUGCGAGCCUGACCGGGUCGCCGAGCCCCACGGGCUCGAGGCAGAAGUAGGUGCCGGUGAUCAUCAAGAACUGCUGCGGCGUGUACUGCCACGAGUCGGACUUGGAGCAGGGGCCGAGGUUGAGCGGGUCCGCUAUCGUACUGCGCAUCACGCACAGGCCGGUCGAAGGGUGGAAGAUCUUGCUGCGGCGGUGGCGCAUCACGGGAACGUGGCGGUUGUCUUCUCCUGCAGUUUAUUAAAUUUCAGGUGGAUAAUUAAGGAAGAGGAUUGGCUGAUUGGCUGAUUGCGAACCUGCGAAGUUGAGGUGGAAGGAAGGGGAUGCAGAGGUGGGCUGUUGCAGAGGAUUGGAGCAGAUCAGCAGCAGAGGGAGCAGGUAAUGGAGCGGGGAGGAAGCCAUGUUUGCUGGUGAUGUAGAGAAGUCGAUCGAUGAUAAUUUUGAUCUAUUAAAGUGAUUUUUGGAA